GCCUGUAUGGAUCAACUGGUAGAUCACCUUCCAAAAUUGUUGUGAACUGCUCGAGAUUUUGAGGGAGACGGAGGUUCGAAUCCUCCUAUGGGCA